rnacentral:rRNA from 1 species
UGGGGAAUUUUGGACAAUGGGGGCAACCCUGAUCCAGCAAUGCCGCGUGUGUGAAGAAGGCCUUCGGGUUGUAAAGCACUUUUGUCCGGGAAGAAAUCGCACCUGAUAAUACCGGGUGUGGAUGACGGUACCGGAAGAAUAAGGACCGGCUAACUACGUGCCAGCAGCCGCGGUAAUACGUAGGGUCCAAGCGUUAAUCGGAAUUACUGGGCGUAAAGCGUGCGCAGGCGGUUGUGCAAGACCGAUGUGAAAUCCCGGGCUUAACCUGGGAAUUGCAUUGGUGACUGCACGGCUAGAGUGUGUCAGAGGGGGGUAGAAUUCCACGUGUAGCAGUGAAAUGCGUAGAGAUGGGGAGGAAUACCGAUGGCGAAGGCAGCCCCCUGGGAUAACACUGACGCUCAUGCACGAAAGCGUGGGGAGCAAACAGG